GUAGGUGGCAAGCGUUAUCCGGGGAAUUAUUGGGGCGUAAAGCGCGCGCAGGCGGUUUCUUAAGUCUGAUGUGAAAGCCCACGGGCUCAACCGUGGAGGGUCAUUGGAAACUGGGGAACUUGAGUGCAGAAGAGAAAAGCGGAAUUCCACGUGUAGCGGUGAAAUGCGUAGAGAUGUGGAGGAACACCAGUGGCGAAGGCGGCUUUUUGGUCUGUAACUGACGCUGAGGCGCGAAAGCGUGGGGGAGCAAAACAGGAUUAGAUACCCCUGGUAGUCCACGCCGUAAACGAUGAGUGCUAAGUGUUAGAGGGUUUCCGCCCUUUAGUGCUGCAGCUAACGCAUUAAGCACUCCGCCUGGGGAGUACGGUCGCAAAGACUG
rnacentral:rRNA from 1 species